rfam:Beta vulgaris subsp. vulgaris chromosome 7, whole genome shotgun sequence.
GAGCUGUGAUGAAAUUAGCGCAUCUCGUGGCAGUUGGGUCCGCCACAAUUUGUCUGAAUCAGAUGAAUCAAAAGCGCAUCUGAGCUU